AGCAGCCGCGGUAAUUCCAGCUCCAAUAGCGUAUAUUAAAGUUGUUGCAGUUAAAAAGCUCGUAGUUGAAUUUCGGGAUCAUCAGGUCGGUCGUGCCUCCGGUAUGUACUGGUCUCGAUGGUUCCUCCUUCUUGUAGAACCGUAAUGCCAUUAAUUUGGUGUUGCGGGGAAACAGGACUGUUACUUUGAAAAAAUUAGAGUGUUUAAAGCAGGCGAUCGCUUGAAUACAUUAGCAUGGAAUAAUGAAAUAGGACGUUCGAUCCUAUUUUGUUGGUUUCUAGGAUUGACGUAAUGAUUAAUAGGGAUAGUUGGGGGCAUUAGUAUUCAAUUGUCAGAGGUGAAAUUCUUGGAUUUAUUGAAGACUAACUACUGCGAAAGCAUUUGCCAAGGAUGUUUUCAUUAAUCAAGAACGAAAGUUAGGGGAUCGAAGACGAUCAGAUACCGUCGUAGUCUUAACCAUAAACUAUGCCGACUAGGGAUCGGAUGAUGUUUAAUUUUUU
rnacentral:rRNA from 1 species